rnacentral:rRNA from 1 species
GACGAACGCUGGCGGCGUGCUUAACACAUGCAAGUCGAACGGAAAGGCCCUGCUUUUGUGGGGUGCUCGAGUGGCGAACGGGUGAGUAACACGUGAGUAACCUGCCCUUGACUUUGGGAUAACUUCAGGAAACUGGGGCUAAUACCGGAUAGGAGCUCCUGCUGCAUGGUGGGGGUUGGAAAGUUUCGGCGGUUGGGGAUGGACUCGCGGCUUAUCAGCUUGUUGGUGGGGUAGUGGCUUACCAAGGCUUUGACGGGUAGCCGGCCUGCGAGGGUGACCGGCCACAUUGGGACUGAGAUACGGCCCAGACUCCUACGGGAGGGAGCAGUGGGGAAUAUUGCACAAUGGGCGGAAGCCUGAUGCAGCAACGCCGCGUGCGGGAUGACGGCCUUCGGGUUGUAAACCGCUUUCGCCUGUGACGAAGCGUGAGUGACGGUAAUGGGUAAAGAAGCACCGGCUAACUACGUG